AGAGAUAGAGUUUUCCCCUUCGGGGGACAGAGUGACAGGUGGUGCAUGGUUGUCGUCAGCUCGUGUCGUGAGAUGUUGGGUUAAGUCCCGCAACGAGCGCAACCCUUAAGUUUAGUUGCCAUCAUUAAGUUGGGCACUUUAAGUUGACUGCCGGUGACAAACCGGAGGAAGGUGGGGAUGACGUCAAAUCAUCAUGCCCCUUAUGAUUUGGGCUACACACGUGCUACAAUGGACAAUACAAAGGGCAGCGAAAUCGCGAGGUCAAGCAAAUUC
rnacentral:rRNA from 1 species